rnacentral:rRNA from 1 species
CCAGACUCCUACGGGAGGCAGCAGUGGGGGAUAUUGCACAAUGGGGGGAACCCUGAUGCAGCGACGCCGCGUGAAGGAAGAAGUAUCUCGGUAUGUAAACUUCUAUCAGCAGGGAAGAAAAUGACGGUACCUGACUAAGAAGCCCCGGCUAACUACGUGCCAGCAGCCGCGGUAAUACGUAGGGGGCAAGCGUUAUCCGGAUUUACUGGGUGUAAAGGGAGCGUAGGCGGCAGUGCAAGUCAGAAGUGAAAGCCCGGGGCUCAACUCCGGGACUGCCCUUGGAACUGCAUGGCUGGAGUGCGGGAGGGGCAGGCGGAAUUCCUGGUGUAGCGGUGAAAUGCGUAGAUAUCAGGAGGAACACCGGCGGCGAAGGCGGCCUGCUGGACCGCGACUGACGUUGAGGCUCGAAAGCGUGGGGAGCGAACAGGAUUAGAUACCCGAGUACC